GUCACAGUCCAUUCAAUAAGCCACAAAGAAGACAUCCUAUUGUAAAAGUGAAAAAUGAUUUCCAUCUACAUGAUCAUCACAGCUCUGGUGCCAACGGCUCUGGCAAAAGGUACAGUUGAAGGGUCUAUGGAUUGCAAUUUAUCUGAACCUACGGGAGCUCAGCAGUGUUUUGGAGCACUUGGGGAGCCAUUGAUUUUUCACCUGCCUACAAAUAUAAAACUACAGUUGACAAAGAAUGGUG